AUGUCUCUAGAAAAAAAAAAUUCAGACUUUCUGAGCGUCACCACGGCGGUAGGCGAGAACAAGCUCCUUACGAAAGGGUGGCAAAAAGGGAGCCAAGAAGAAAGUGACUGAUCCAUUUUCUAAGAAAGAUUGGUAUGAUGUGAAAGCAGCUGCUAUGUUCAGUAUAAGAAAUGUUGGCAAAACGCCGGUCACCAGGAUGCAAGAAACCAAAAUUGCAUCCGGUGGCCUCAAGUGUCAUGUGUUUGAAUGCCAGUCUGCAGAAUGAUGAAGUUGCACUUAGAAAAUUCAAGUGGAUCACUGAAGAUGCUCAGGGCAAAAACUUCCAUGUCAUGGACCUGAACAGGGACAAAAUGUGCUCCAUGGUCAAAAAAUGGCAGACCAUGACCGAAGCUCAUGUUGAUAUCAAGACUACCGAUGGUUAUUUGCUUCAUCUGUCCUGGUUUUACUAAAAAAUGCAACAAUCAGAUACAGAAGACCUCUUACACUCAGCACCAACAGGUCCACCAGAUCUGGAAGAAGAUGAUAUUUGAAAUCAUGACCCAAGAGCUGCAGAGAAAUGACUUAAAAGAAGUGGUCGAUAAAUUGGUUCCGGACAGCAUCAGAAAAGACAUUUCCAAGGCAUGCCAAGGACCAAGACAUCUUCAUGAUGUCUUUGUUAGAAAAGUAAGAAUGCUGAAGAAACCCAGGUUUGAAUCAGAAAAGCUCAUGGAGCUACAUGGUGAAGGUAGUAGUUCUGGAAAAGCUACUGGGGACGAGACAGGUACUAAGGUUGAACAAGCUGAUGGACAUGAACCACCAGUUCGGGAAUCUGUUUAACAUUCAGUCUUUUAAGAGUGACAAAUAAAAAGUCCUAUUUGUGAACAAAAAA